UUUUUUUUUUUUUUUUUUUUUUUUUUUAGCAGAUCGCAGAGCCUCUCUGAACUUCAGGCUCCUCAUCUAUAAAAUGGACCUCCCAAGGUGGUGGUUUAGUGCUGUCAGGGACAUGUUGGCAGGAGGACCGUGUGAGCUGUUGUGUCCACAGUAGCCUGGAAAGGGUGAGGGCAAAGGGCUGGGGGACCGGUCAGAAGGCACCUACCACAAUCCAGGUAGGAGGUGACAGUGCUGCAGCCAGGCUGCACGGCGAAGGAUGGGAGGGGCCCCCGGAGAAACCUGAAUCAGGUACCACAGUAACGGGGAACGUGGAGGAGGGCGUGAUUCACUCCAAGGCCGCUUUCCCAGGGGAUGUGACUCAGGCAGGAUUUUGAAAAAUGAGCAGUUCAGCAGGCACUCAAGAGGGUGAGAACAUUCCAACACCGGUGUGCCGGGGCCCCAUUGAGAGGGAGCCAGGCCUGUUUGGGGACCUAUGAAGCAGCAUCACAUCAGAGCAGAAGGGUCAGGGGAGGCCAGAUGGGGAAGGAGCUCGCCGCUCUGCCAAGGGUGUUGUCCUCUGGGCGCCAGGGAGUUCAGGAAGAAUUUUAAGCCUGGGGGCCGGUGGUGCUUAAGACCUAAAACUUGCUAUUAAGAAAAGUCCCGUGGUCACCAUGAACGGCCUGGGGGGAGGUGGCAGGGAAAACCCAGAGGGGAAGCAGAAAAUGAGGGCUGACCCCGGGGCAGUGGGAGAGAGGGAAGGAGGCAUGAGAACCGUUUAGGGAGAAGAGAGGACCAGGGCCGUGUGGGUUUGGGGAAAGAGGAGCAGGCUGUUUUGAGGAAGAGAAUGAGUCAUGUGGGGGCCGGCUGAAUUGGAGGAUCCACUGGGGGAUCAGACAGCCAAGCCCCAGAGCAGCCGAUGUUGGAGUCUGGAGCUCAGCGGAGGGGACUUGGGUCCAGAAGCCUCAAGGGACAGGUGGCAUUUAAGCUGUGGAAGGCCACCAGCUAAAAGGCAUCUCCAGAUUUUUACCUUUAGUAAGAUCUGAAUAGAGGUAUAUUUCCCUCCUCUUUGCCUCUUUCCCAAGGCCUUUGAGAGAUACAGUGAGAAAAACAUUCUUGAGGGUAAAGAGGAGGGAUCCAGGAGGGGAUCCUCCUAGGGCAGCACGGAGGAAUCCCUGGGCUGGUCCCACUUCACCCCACGGUGUCUGCGGGCAGAGGGGCCUGGAUAGGCAGGGCUCUUGGUAUCCAUUGUCCGUGGGUCUCUGCAUGCAGAUAUGUAAAGUUAUGUGUUUUCAUCUCCCCGUGAUUCCUGUUUUCCUGCAGCCCUUCCCGCUGAGGCGUAUUGCCCAAUGAAGUUGGAGGGGUGAAUUCGAAGCAAGACCUCAAGCAGGGGGUGAAGCGGACAUGAUGUAGAGAAGCUGCUGCUGAUGGCAAUGGGACCAGAAAAGGGGGGCCUAAGGGAGAACAUGAGAAGCAAAAAGGGCAGCCCCUUAACCUUCAACCUCAGAGGCUCGUGAGGGAGAAACCCAGUCAGGUCUGAGGGGAGAUCUCACAGCAAGGGGGUGGGUGGGACUUGACUCAGAUUGCAGUGGGGAGAAAUUUUAAUGACACCCCCUCCCUAGCAAACCAGCGAUGCAAGAUGGUGCCAGCACAAUAUGGUGCCAGUCAGGAGGUGGUUUGGAAUGGCUGAGGAAGGGAGUCUGGGAAGUGGCUUCAUGCAACGCUGCUCGUUCUAGUGAGAAUGCAGCCAGGUAGUCCUAGGUCCCAGGGGCCGCAGAGCCAAGAUCUGCCUCACCAGCUAUGUGCAGGGACCAUGCACUUUGGCUUCACCUCUUCCUGCCCCUACCCCACCAGCAAGCCCCAGGGACCAGAACCAUCUCUGUCCUGCGUGUGUGUGUGUGUGUGUGUGUGUGUGUGUGUGUGUAAGAAUGCAGGGGACUCCACUCAGACCUUCAACCCUCUUGUCCCACCACCGUGAGGCCCAUGAACAUCUCUCUGCACCAGGAAAUUAUCUUGGCUGGGAGAAGGCGGAAGGGUGAGAAAACCUUGGAAUACUGAGCAAUUUUACUCAAAAGAGACUGAGUUAAUCAUACAGAAAUGGAGCUAUGUCUAAGGGGCAAUUUAAUGGUUUCUUUUUGUUUGUUUUCUUUUUGCCCGUCAGUAGUAGGAAUUAUCAGAUCACGAUGAGAAGAGUAUAAGAAAAAGUAAGAACAAUACUGAUUUGACCCAUCUGGGUAGGUGUGUGUGUGUGAUCUUUAGCCCUCCCACAAUUAUGUCUGUACACGUUUGCUGGGGCAACUGUAUAUUUUCAAUUCCAAUCGUCAGACCUUUCCUUGAAGCUCACGUGUGUUUUGAUCUGGCCAGGAAUUGAGAAUCAUAAAAUCAUUAAAUCUGUAUUAAUUACCUAUUGCUGCAUAGUAAGUUAAUCCAAAAUUUAGCUGAAAUAAAUAUGUAUUAUCUCACA
rnacentral:lncRNA from 1 species